rnacentral:rRNA from 1 species
AGAGUUUGAUCUUGGCUCAGAGUGAACGCUGGCGGCAGGCCUAACACAUGCAAGUCGAACGGCAGCACGGCAGUAGCAAUACUGUGGGUGGCGAGUGGCGGACGGGUGAGGAAUACAUCGGGAUCUACCCUGUUGUGGGGGAUAACGUAGGGAAACUUACGCUAAUACCGCAUAAGAACUGAGGUUGAAAGCGGCGGACCGCAAGGCGUCGCGCGAUUGGAUGAACCGAUGUCCGAUUAGCUAGUUGGCGGGGUAAAGGCCCACCAAGGCGACGAUCGGUAGCUGGUCUGAGAGGACGACCAGCCACACUGGAACUGAGACACGGUCCAGACUCCUACGGGAGGCAGCAGUGGGGAAUAUUGGACAAUGGGCGCAAGCCUGAUCCAGCCAUGCCGCGUGGGUGAAGAAGGCCUUCGGGUUGUAAAGCCCUUUUGUCCGGAAAGAAAAGCUCGUGGUUAAUACCCGCGGGUUCUGACGGUACCGGAAGAAUAAGCACCGGCUAACUUCGUGCCAGCAGCCGCGGUAAUACGAAGGGUGCAAGCGUUACUCGGAAUUACUGGGCGUAAAGCGUGCGUAGGUGGUGAGUUAAGUCUGUCGUGAAAUCCCCGGGCUCAACCUGGGAAUGGCGAUGGAUACUGGCUCGCUAGAGUGCGGUAGAGGAGAGUGGAAUUCCCGGUGUAGCAGUGAAAU